rnacentral:rRNA from 1 species
GAUGAACGCUAGCGACAGGCCUAACACAUGCAAGUCGAGGGGCAGCACAUGAGUAGCAAUACGAUGGUGGCGACCGGCGCACGGGUGAGUAACACGUAUGCAACCUGCCUGUAAGAGGGGAAUAACCCGGAGAAAUUCGGACUAAUACCGCAUAAUACCACGAGACUGCAUGGUUUUGUGGUUAAACAUUUAUGGCUUACAGAUGGGCAUGCGUAUGAUUAGAUAGUUGGUAGGGUAACGGCCUACCAAGUCUACGAUCAUUAGGGGUUCUGAGAGGAAGGUCCCCCACACUGGUACUGAGACACGGACCAGACUCCUACGGGAGCAGCAGUGAGGAAUAUUGGUCAAUGGGCAGAGCCUGAACCAGCCAAGUCGCGUGAAGGAAGAAGGUUCUAUGGAUUGUAAACUUCUUUUGCAGGGGAAUAAAGGACGGUACGUGUACUGUUUUGUAUGUACCUUGCGAAUAAGGAUCGGCUAACUCCGUGCCAGCAGCCGA